CGUGUAGGCGGCCUUGCAAGUUGGGUGUGAAAGCCCUCGGCUUAACCGAGGAAGUGCGCCCAAAACUACGAGGCUUGAGUACCGGAGAGGAUGGUGGAAUUCCCGGUGUAGAGGUGAAAUUCGUAGAUAUCGGGAGGAACACCAGCGGCGAAGGCGACCAUCUGGACGGAUACUGACGCUGAGACGCGAAAGCGUGGGGAGCAAACAGGAUUAGAUACCCUGGUAGUCCACGCCGUAAACGAUGAGCGCUAGGUGUUGCGGGUGUUGACCCCUGCAGUGCCGCAGCUAACGCAUUAAGCGCUCCGCCUGGGAAGUACGGCCGCAAGGCUAAAA
rnacentral:rRNA from 1 species